rnacentral:rRNA from 1 species
CCUAAUACAUGCAAGUCGAACGAGUUCUGAUUAUUGAAAGGUGCUUGCAUCUUGAUUUUAAUUUUGAACGAGUGGCGGACGGGUGAGUAACACGUGGGUAACCUGCCCUUAAGUGGGGGAUAACAUUUGGAAACAGAUGCUAAUACCGCAUAAAUCCAAGAACCGCAUGGUUCUUGGCUGAAAGAUGGCGUAAGCUAUCGCUUUUGGAUGGACCCGCGGCGUAUUAGCUAGUUGGUGAGGUAACGGCUCACCAAGGCAAUGAUACGUAGCCGAACUGAGAGGUUGAUCGGCCACAUUGGGACUGAGACACGGCCCAAACUCCUACGGGAGGCAGCAGUAGGGAAUCUUCCACAAUGGACGCAAGUCUGAUGGAGCAACGCCGCGUGAGUGAAGAAGGCUUUCGGGUCGUAAAACUCUGUUGUUGGAGAAGAAUGGUCGGCAGAGUAACUGUUGUCGGCGUGACGGUAUCCAACCAGAAAGCCACGGCUAACUACGUGCCAGCAGCCGCGGUAAUACGUAGGUGGCAAGCGUUAUCCGGAUUUAUUGGGCGUAAAGCGAGCGCAGGCGGUUUUUUAAGUCUGAUGUGAAAGCCCUCGGCUUAACCGAGGAAGUGCAUCGGAAACUGGGAAACUUGAGUGCAGAAGAGGACAGUGGAACUCCAUGUGUAGCGGUGAAAUGCGUAGAUAUAUGGAAGA